UUUUAGGGUAGAGAAAAUGAGACUCAGAAAAGUUAGGGGACUUUAGCCAAGGCCUGGACACAACUUGAAAUGUUUAGGGGGAGUUUUAGCCAAAGUCUCUGGAGGGACUCUUAGCCUGACAGAUCCUGGAUGACACACAGACAUUUCUGAAGUUACUUUUCUUAGUUGGAGAGGGAGGGGGGAAUGUCAGUAGCCACAUUGUGCACCCCCAAGGUGCUCUUAGCCCUGACUCCAGCUUUUGGCGUUCGGCAUCCCCUCCCUGCUGCUUCCUCCUUUCACCUGCCCUGCCCUUUGUUUAUGGUCACCUGGGGGAACCAGACAGGCUUUGCUCCAGGCAGCAGGGUUAUUUUGAUUGCAGGUGUCCACACUUUAAGCCUUGAGAGUCAUGUUCAGAAAGAUGUAAGGGAAGUUGGGGCUUUGGAUGGAUUUUGCCAUUUCAGGGCUGGGAGUUUCUGGACCAGGCUGUCCUGUUGGAGGACAGUGCCAUUGAGCAUUGUAGGGCUUCAGAGGGUCUAAACCAGAGGCCCCAGCUGUUGGUUCUGGGUGGAAAGGCAGCCAGUCAGGGACUGUGCCUCUUUGCUUACCUUGCUUCUGCUGCCUGGUGGUUGGGGCCUGUGGGGCUGUCUGGAGUAGGGUUGCAGGCCCAGGAUUGUGUUGCCAAGCUAUAGCUUAUAGGGCCCUGAAGACUUAUUUAUUUUAGUUGGUUUGAGACAGGUUUUUGCUCUGUAGCCCAGGCUGACCUGGAACUCACUGUGUAGCCCACUCUGGCCACCAACACUCAACAGUUCUGCCUUGGUCUCCUGAAUGCUAGAAUUACAGACCUGUUAUAGGUAUGAGCUACCGUGCCCCUCUUCUGAAGAAAGAUACUUUAGUAUAGGCUUAGUCACAAAGAUAAAGAGAGAGAAAGGCGCUCAGAAGAAGAUAAGGUACACCUGAGAGCAUGGGUGUGGGGUUCUCAAAGAGGAGUCUCAAAAAGACAGCCGUCAAAUACGGGUAUGAGCCCUUCCAGAGAAAGCUGCCCUUUUAAAACGUUCUUUUAAAGUCAUCUGCAGAGGUGGAAAUGAUGGGAGAAAGAUGGUGUUGGAUUCCAUUUUUCAACCCUCUGUAGGUGAAAUGCCACAGGGGAUAGAACCUGGAGGUGAUUGAUCUCCCUCAGGCAAAUCUCUUCAGGUAGCUUGUCUUCCCUUAGGACAGGAGACCCCCUUCCCUUUUGGAUGGAGGGGCUGUGGGAGUCAGGUGCUCUCUUCUCACGCCCCACACAGAGAGGCCAAACAGCUUGUAUUUUGGGAAUGGAGAAAAAGUGGAACUUUUAAUCCCUCUUCGUCCAAUGCUAGCCUAGGAAAGGGGACCCUGCCCUGCUCUGCCCCUUUGUGUCUCACUGCCUGCCAGCAGCAGCUCUGUUGUUUCUGGCUGAAGCCUUGAGUCUGGGGGAGUGGUUCCCUUCAAACACCACAGACAUCCUCCAGAUAAUACACGAUGGCACCUUCCAGUCCAGUUCCCGAUAUUUCCGAAGGGCCUUUCUUUCCAGGAACCCAAAAGUGAUUUUCCAGACUCAGCUCUGAGAGCUGGGAUGAGGGGCCAUGUGAAUGUGUUUUCCUGGAGGCGGGAACUGGGCCCGGAUCCCUGUUUCCUGCCCUCUGGGUUACUGGACUGGAGGUGUCUGUGCACAUCGCCCACCCCCUUUUCCCUGGAUCACCCCCACCCCCACCCAGCCACCACCUUUAAUGUAUUGUUCUGUGGUUCUGGGCAUGGAAUAUAGCUAGGACUUUGUGCAUACUAGACCAGGGUGACACCUCCACUCUCUUCUUUUUUUUAAAAAUGUAAGUUAAGCAACGUGGGGCUGGUGAGAUGGCUUAGCAAUGAAAGACUCAAGUCUGAAGCCUGAGUUCAGUGCCUGGAACCCAUGUGAUGGGAGAGAAGAACUAGUUGCUGGAAGUUGUUCUUUGACCUCCACAUAUUUGCGCAGGUGCAUAUAAUAAGUUAAGGUGUAACAGAGUAACAUUUAAAAAAAAAGUUAAAUGACAGUAAUCUUAUAGCCUGAUUAAUUAAAUAUAUAUGUAAGUUUAUCUUACUUGUGUUUGUGUGUCGAUAAAUACUUAUUUAUUGUUUUUGUGUUUUGUUUUGUUUUGUUUUGUUUUGUUUUGAGACAGGGUUGUUUUUUAGUCCUGGCUGUCCUGGGACUCACUCUAUAGACUGGCUGGAACUCAGAAAUCCAUCUGCCUCUGCCUCCUAAGUGCUGAGGUUAAAGGUGUGCACCAGCACUCCUGGCUUUAUACAUGUAUUUUGAAAAUUCAGAACUACACCUUUGAUGCGUGUACUUGGGCCUGUCUACUACUGCCCUGCUGAGGCUGCCAAGCUUUGAGUGGUAGGGCCACUUUGGCACCUGGGGGUACCUGACUGGGGAACCUUCCCCUGGGCCUUUCUCCAUAGAAGACCCUGGUUGAAGAGCAGGUCUAACUUGGGGUCUACCAUCCUGGGCUUAUGGCUGUGACUGUUAAUGCGUCCUAAUCCCACAAAAGCACGAGAGGUCGUUUAUAGUGCUGCGGGUUGGACUGGGCACAUUCUUGGUGUUUCCCAGAUGGGCUUGCAUUUAGGGCUCACAGCACUUGAGAUGGAACGGCUGGCAGGAAGUAAAGGGCAUCUGGGAGUUCUUGGAAAGACCCGAAAGGUUCAGGUGAGCACAGCAGGGGUUUCUAGAGUGUCUGCUUUUGAAGCUAGUUCUUGACUAGCUGACUGUAGAGUUCUAUUUUAACACAUUCGACUUGAGCUUCAGAACCCAGCUUCUUCAGGACUUCCAGCUUCUCUGGAAUCCCAGUGGCUUCCCUGGUGGCAUGGACCUGUAUCCUGAGUUUCAUGUUUUUGUUAAUAAGCAUAUGGUCGUAUUAACCCUGUCUGGGCAGCUGGCAUGAAUCUGUGACCAUUUUGAAACAGGAGAUAAUGGAGAGAUGGCUCAGUGGUGUAAGAGCUUUGGCUGUUCUUCCAGAGGACGUGAGUUCAAUCCCCAGUACCCACACAGCAGCUCACACUGUCUGUAACUCCAGUUCCAGGGGAUCUGACACCUUCACACAGACAUAUAUGGAGGCAAAAUACCAAUGCACAUAAAAUAUAA
rnacentral:lncRNA from 1 species